CGGGAAGUAGCGUAAUUGGAUAUCGUGCCUGCUUUGGGAGCAGGAGGUUGCGGGUUCAAGUCCCGCCUUCCCGA
rnacentral:tRNA from 1 species